rnacentral:rRNA from 1 species
AACGAACGCUGGCGGCAUGCCUAACACAUGCAAGUCGAACGAGACCUUCGGGUCUAGUGGCGCACGGGUGCGUAACGCGUGGGAACCUGCCCUUAGGUUCGGAAUAACUCCCCGAAAGGGGGGGCAAAAACGGAAAAAUGCCUCGGAACCAAAGAUUUAUCGCCUUUGGAUGGGCCCGCGUUGGAUUAGCUAGUUGGUAGGGUAAAAGCCUACCAAGGCGACGAUCCAUAGCUGGUCUGAGAGGAUGAUCAGCCACACUGGGACUGAGACACGGCCCAGACUCCUACGGGAGGCAGCAGUGGGGAAUAUUGGACAAUGGGCGAAAGCCUGAUCCAGCAAUGCCGCGUGAGUGAUGAAGGCCUUAGGGUUGUAAAGCUCUUUUACCCGGGAUGAUAAUGACAGUACCGGGAGAAUAAGCUCCGGCUAACUCCGUG